AGUGAACGCUGGCGGUAGGCCUAACACAUGCAAGUCGAACGGCAGCACAGUAAGAGCUUGCUCUUACGGGUGGCGAGUGGCGGACGGGUGAGGAAUACAUCGGAAUCUACUUUUUCGUGGGGGAUAACGUAGGGAAACUUACGCUAAUACCGCAUACGACCUACGGGUGAAAGCAGGGGAUCUUCGGACCUUGCGCGAUUGAAUGAGCCGAUGUCGGAUUAGCUAGUUGGCGGGGUAAAGGCCCACCAAGGCGACGAUCCGUAGCUGGUCUGAGAGGAUGAUCAGCAACCUUGGACUUGGGAAACGUUCCGGCCCCUACGGGAGGGCCGAGGUGGGAAUAUUGGACAAUGGGCGCAAGCCUGAUCCAGCCAUACCGCGUGGGUGAAGAAGGCCUUCGGGCUGUAAAGCCCUUUUGUUGGGAAAGAAAAGCAGCAGGUUAAUACCCCGCUGUUCUGACGGUACCCAAAGAAUAAGCACCGGCUAACUUCGUG
rnacentral:rRNA from 1 species